CUGCAGUUCUCCCCAGAGACAGGCAUGCUCCCAGCAACUAGAUUUCCUGAAUGUUCUCCAUGAGUCACGUUAGCUAAGCUGUUUCUGCCUCACAUCUGAAGGAAGACAGGAGGAAAGGUGGAUGAACUAAGCUGGACCCAAACUGUCUCUUCCAGGUGCUGAAUACCACGUUGGAUGCUCUGGGAACUCGAAGCCGUUGGCAUAUCAUCUCAAGGAUCUGGCAGGCACCUGCUUAGGAGACCUCAAUUUUAUUCUUCCCCUGUCCUAACGAGCAAGGAAAUGCAAAUGCAUUUUCUUACAUCCAAAUGUUUUCAGUGGACAUGUGGCAGCAUGGACAGAGGAGAGAUGCCUUCCUGCCUCCUCCUACUGAGACAGAUGGAGGAGCUGGCCCUAGGAUCAAAAGUGGGCUGGCCCUGCUCCUCACCUGCUGUAGUACCCAGGAGAGUGGCCCCUGUACCUCACCCAGGCAACACAAUAGAGCUGUCCCAAGUGGCUUAGGUUGAAGGAGCUGACCCUGAGAGGGUGAAAGCAGAACUGGCCACACCUCUCACUCAUUGCCAGGGCAACGCUAGAGAGCUCACCCUGGUGGUGAGAACAGGGGAGACCUGGCGGGUGGACCAACCCUCAGUGGCCCAGGAACAGAACAAAACCAGGGUUGUGACUUGGCCCGCCCAUCAUUCACUCCAUCUAUGAUCUGCUGAAACACAUGAAGGGACCUGACCCACAGACCCAAAGAUGCAGGGUCUCCACAACACAGAGCAACGACAGGAUAUCCAGGAGGAGCCCUAAUGAGGGCCCAGCAUUGAUAGUGCUGUAGCAACCAGAGACCUCGAACCAGACCAAUGACUCUUUGCAAUGAACAUUUGCAAGUGAAGACAUAUAAACAGAGAGGGUUACUGCGUGGCUCACUGUGUCACACUGCACCUUCCACGACAAGAUUUUUAAUCCCCCCUUUUCACUUUUUUCUCUUAAAUUUUGUUUUAUUUGGGGGAUAUAUGGGCAGAGGGCAGAUGCAGAGGGGUGGAGAAUUGAACAGUAUCAAGAUACAUGAUGUAAAGGACACAUAGAAAAAAUAAAAAGAAAGUUAUAAAAAGUGUUUUCA
rnacentral:lncRNA from 1 species